rnacentral:snRNA from 1 species
GUCCCUUCGUGGACAUCCGAUAAAAUUGGAACGAUACAGAGAAGAUUAGCAUGGGCCCUGCGCAAGGAUGACACGCUUAAAUCGAGAAAUGAUCCAAAUUUAU